rnacentral:rRNA from 1 species
GUGGGGAAUCUUCCGCAAUGGACGAAAGUCUGACGGAGCAACGCCGCGUGAGUGAAGAAGGUUUUCGGAUCGUAAAGCUCUUUCGUCAGGGACGAACGUAUUUCUUGUAAAUAAUGAGAGAUAGUGACGGUACCUGAAUAAGAAGCCACGGCUAACUACGUGCCAGCAGCCGCGGUAAUACGUAGGUGGCAAGCGUUGUCCGGAAUUAUUGGGCGUAAAGCGCGCGCAGGCGGGAUAUCAAGUCUGUCUUAAAAGUGCGAGGCUCAACCUCGUGAGGGGACAGAAACUGGUAUUCUUGAGUGUCGGAGAGGAAAGUGGAAUUCCAAGUGUAGCGGUGAAAUGCGUAGAGAUUUGGAAGAACACCAGUGGCGAAGGCGACUUUCUGGACGAUGUCUGACGCUGAGGCGCGAAAGCUAGGGGAGCGAACGGGAUUAGAUACCCCGGUAGUCC